UACGGAGGAGGCAAGCGUUAUCCGGAAUUAUUGGGCGUAAAGCAUCCGUAGGUGGCACUUCAAGUCUGCGGUCAAAGACCGGGGCUUAACCCUGGAAAGGCCGUGGAAACUGAAGUGCUAGAGUGCAGUAGGGGUAGAGGGAAUUCCCGGUGUAGCGGUGAAAUGCGUAGAGCUCGGGAAGAACAUCGGUGGCGAAAGCGCUCUACUGGACUGCAACUGACACUGAGGGACGAAAGCUAGGGGAGCGAAUGGG
rnacentral:rRNA from 1 species